rnacentral:lncRNA from 1 species
CUUGGUGCCUGCAGGAGUGGGCGGUCCUGGUCUGGGGUCGCCGCGGCUGGCCCUUUUUUAGGGGGCUGGGCCUGUGGGACUCUCCGGCCCUCAGUAACGUCAUUAUAACGCUGCUUCUCCCUCUUGCGGUCGAUGAUGAGCUUAAUUUCCAUGAGAAUGAAAUGGAGAUGAGAAUGUGGAAGACAAAAUUUAUUUUGCAUUUUUUGUCUAGUUCUAGGGUUAAAAAUCAUCUCAUGUACGGUCU